GGCUCAGAUGGUAAAGCGUCUGUCUGCAACGCAGGAGACCCGGGUUCGAUCCCUGG
rnacentral:tRNA from 1 species